GACGAACGCUGGCGGCGUGCUUAACACAUGCAAGUCGAGCGAUGAAAGCCUUAUGAACUAUUCGUAGUGAUUGAGGCCGGAUUAGCGGCGGACGGGUGAGUAACGCGUGAGCAACCUGCCUUAAACAACGGGAUAGCCUCGGGAAACCGGGAUUAAUACCGUAUGAGACCCCGCCUUCACGGGAAGAAGAGGCUAAAGAUUUAUCGGUUUAAGAUGGGCUCGCGUCUGAUUAGCUAGUUGGUGAGAUAAAGGCCCACCAAGGCAACGAUCAGUAACCGGCUUGAGAGAGUGAACGGUCACAUUGGAACUGAGACACGGUCCAAACUCCUACGGGAGGCAGCAGUGGGGAAUAUUGCACAAUGGGGGAAACCCUGAUGCAGCGACGCCGCGUGAGCGAUGAAGGAAUUCGUUUCGUAAAGCUCUGUCCAAGGGGAAGAUAAUGACAGUACCCUUGGAGGAAGCCCCGGCUAAAUACGUGCCAGCAGCCGCAGUAA
rnacentral:rRNA from 1 species